UUGAUGAUUUGGUGGAAAACGGAGAGAAGAUUCGUUCCUGGGAAAAGUGAAACUCUGGUCAGAAACAGGAUGUGAUAAGAAGAAGAAGAAGAUGUUGUGGACAUGGGAUGAUAAGUUGGAUGUGAAGUUGAAACAAGAGCAAUGGAACGAAGAGAAGCAGGAGACCAGUAACGAGAAGAAAAAGAGCAAGAAGAAGAUGGAGAGAUUGGCUUUGAGGAGAGGAAGAGCAAAAUCAAAAGGAGAAUUAAGGCACUUGAAAGUAUGAUGCUUGAAUGCGUAGUCCUUUUUAACUAAAACUUUCCCAAGUACAGCUGAUCCUCACAGACAUUCUGGACGAAAUAGGACUUCGAUUAGGAUAUCAACAUUUCGGUAAAUAAUUUUGGUGGAGGGAGAAGUUUCUUUUCAGUCUUAUGUCCAUCUAACAAAGGCGGGUAUCUCCAUCUGAUUCAAACUGUUUGUAUGUUAUCUUCAACAGUUAGUUGUUACAGAGAUUGUGAUAAUAACUACAGAAGGAAUUGACCUCAUGUCAAACUGAUAAUUGGCCGGGAGAAAAAACAUGCUUGAAGCUUGGAAGAAAGAAGAGACAGGAAACAAAAAGAAUAAAAGACUUGAUGACAUGCUUAUCAGCAUUUGGGCAAGUCCGCAGGAGGAGGAAGAAGUUUCUGAUCAGGCUUAUCUCCAUCCAGAACAAGCCAAGCCAUCCUCAAACCCCAACUGGUAUGUACUUCCAAGUGACAGUGCAUGAACCACACUCCUGUCAAACAUUUUGGUUAUCUGCAAGGAAUCGAAUAGCAGCCCAUCCGCCAGAAGGCACACCGACUGUGUUCCUCUCAAUCGGGUCAACAAGGUUGAAGUUCUUAGGAUCCUUGUUCGGGUCGAAGUUCCCAAACCCCUGG